AAUGAACGCUGGCGGCGUGCCUAACACAUGCAAGUCGGAUGUGCCGCAAGGUGCAUGGCAGACGGGUGAGUAACGCGUGGGGAACCUACCUCUUCGUGGGGAAUAACGAUCCGAAAGGAUUGGUAAUACCGCAUGAGACCGACGGCUGGGAUGCUGUCGGUGAAAGCUGGGGACCGGAAACGGCCUGGCGCGAGGAGAGGGUCCUGCGUCUGAUUAGCUAGUUGGUGGGGUAACGGCCUACCAAGGCAUCGAUCAGUAGCCGGCCUGAGAGGGUGAUCGGCCACACUGGAACUGAGACACGGUCCAGACUCCUACGGGAGGCAGCAGUGGGGAAGUUUUGUCGG
rnacentral:rRNA from 1 species